rnacentral:pre_miRNA from 1 species
GUGAUCCACAAUGUUAGUUCACUGAAUGUGUAUAGAUCGAUCAGUCUACACAUUCAGUGAACUAACAUUGUGCUAACAA